rnacentral:rRNA from 1 species
CUUAACACAUGCAAGUCGAACGAACCUUCGGGUUAGUGGCGGACGGGUGAGUAACGCGUGAGAAUCUGCCCUCAGGAGGGGGAUAACGGCUGGAAACGGCCGCUAAUACCCCAUAUGCCGAGAGGUGAAAUGAGUUUCGCCUGAGGAUGAGCUCGCGUCUGAUUAGCUAGUUGGUGGGGUAAGAGCCUACCAAGGCGUCGAUCAGUAGCUGGUCUGAGAGGAUGAUCAGCCACACUGGGACUGAGACACGGCCCAGACUCCUACGGGAGGCAGCAGUGGGGAAUUUUCCGCAAUGGGCGAAAGCCUGACGGAGCAACGCCGCGUGAGGGAUGAAGGCCUCUGGGCUGUAAACCUCUUUUCUCAAGGAAGAAGACCUGACGGUACUUGAGGAAUAAGCCACGGCUAAUUCCGUGCCAGCAGCC